AGGGAAUCUUCCACAAUGGACGAAAGUCUGAUGGAGCAAUGCCGCGUGAGCGAAGAAGGUUUUCGGAUCGUAAAGCUCUGUUGUAAGGGAAGAACACGUACGGGAGUAACUGCCCGUACCUUGACGGUACCUUAUUAGAAAGCCACGGCUAACUACGUGCCAGCAGCCGCGGUAAUACGUAGGUGGCAAGCGUUGUCCGGAAUUAUUGGGCGUAAAGCGCGCGCAGGCGGUCCUUUAAGUCUGAUGUGAAAGCCCACGGCUCAACCGUGGAGGGUCAUUGGAAACUGGGGGACUUGAGUACAGAAGAGGAAAGCGGAAUUCCACGUGUAGCGGUGAAAUGCGUAGAGAUGUGGAGGAACACCAGUGGCGAAGGCGGCUUUCUGGUCUGUAACUGACGCUGAGGCGCGAAAGCGUGGGGAGCAAAC
rnacentral:rRNA from 1 species